rnacentral:rRNA from 1 species
GAUGAACGCUAGCGGCAGGCCUAACACAUGCAAGUCGAGGGGUAGAAUUAGCUUGCUAAUUUGAGACCGGCGCACGGGUGCGUAACGCGUAUGCAAUCUGCCUUGUACUGAGGGAUAGCCCAGAGAAAUUUGGAUUAAUACCUCAUAGUAUUAUGAUGUGGCAUCACAUUAUAAUUAAAGUUCCAACGGUACAAGAUGAGCAUGCGUCCCAUUAGUUAGUUGGUAAGGUAACGGCUUACCAAGACGAUGAUGGGUAGGGGUCCUGAGAGGGAGAUCCCCCACACUGGUACUGAGACACGGACCAGACUCCUACGGGAGGCAGCAGUGAGGAAUAUUGGUCAAUGGGCGCAAGCCUGAACCAGCCAUGCCGCGUGCAGGAUGACGGUCCUAUGGAUUGUAAACUGCUUUUAUACGGGAAGAAACACUCCUACGUGUAGGAACUUGACGGUACCGUAAGAAUAAGGAUCGGCUAACUCCGUGCCAGCAGCCGCAGUAAUAC